GACGAACGCUGGCGGCGUGCCUAAUACAUGCAAGUUGAGCGAUGAAGAUUGGUGCUUGCACCAAUUUGAAGAGCAGCGAACGGGUGAGUAACGCGUGGGGAAUCUGCCUUUGAGCGGGGGACAACAUUUGGAAACGAAUGCUAAUACCGCAUAACAACUUUAAACAUAAGUUUUAAGUUUGAAAGAUGCAAUUGCAUCACUCAAAGAUGAUCCCGCGUUGUAUUAGCUAGUUGGUGAGGUAAAGGCUCACCAAGGCGAUGAUACAUAGCCGACCUGAGAGGGUGAUCGGCCACAUUGGGACUGAGACACGGCCCAAACUCCUACGGGAGGCAGCAGUAGGGAAUCUUCGGCAAUGGACGAAAGUCUGACCGAGCGACGCCGCGUGAGUGAAGAAGGUUUUCGGAUCGUAAAACUCUGUUGGUAGAGAAGAACGUUGGUGAGAGUGGAAAGCUCAUCAAGUGACGGUAACUACCCAGAAAGGGACGGCUAACUACGUG
rnacentral:rRNA from 1 species